rnacentral:rRNA from 1 species
AGCGGCGGACGGGUGAGUAACGCGUGGGUAACCUGCCUCAUACAGGGGGAUAACAGUUGGAAACGGCUGCUAAUACCGCAUAAGCGCACAGUACCGCAUGGUACGUGUGAAAAACUCCGGUGGUAUGAGAUGGACCCGCGUCUGAUUAGGUAGUUGGUGGGGUAACGGCCUACCAAGCCGACGAUCAGUAGCCGACCUGAGAGGGUGACCGGCCACAUUGGGACUGAGACAUGGCCCAA